UCUGGUUCAAGUCCAGGAUGGCCCAGCUGCGCCAAAGGGGGUGCGAUGAUUUACUUCACGGGCGAGGUCUCUGGUUCAAGUCCAGGAUGGCCCA
rnacentral:tRNA from 1 species